AGCGGAGUAGCCCAGCCCGGUCAACGGCGACAGACUCAAGAUAUUCGACUUGUUCGAAAUGUGGCAUCUGCUCCUUUAGAGGUUCGUGGGUUCGAAUCCCACCUCCGCUA
rnacentral:tRNA from 1 species